UACGAAGGGGGCUAGCGUUGUUCGGAAUUACUGGGCGUAAAGGGCGCGUAGGCGGCGUGUCAAGUCAGGCGUGAAAGCCCCGGGCUCAACCUGGGAACUGCGUCUGAUACUGGAUGGCUUGAAUUCGGGAGAGGGAUGCAGAAUUCCAGGUGUAGCGGUGAAAUGCGUAGAUAUCUGGAGGAAUACCGGUGGCGAAGGCGGCAUCCUGGACCGACAUUGACGCUGAUGAGCGAAAGCUAGGGGAGCAAACGGG
rnacentral:rRNA from 1 species